CUGGGCCAUGUUGCCGACCGUGGACGUGGAUAACCCAGGUGUAGCUGCUGGGCAAGGCUGGCCGUCGGCAAAGACCAGAAGACCUUCGCGUUGUCUGAUGACUGGAGGUGCUAAGGAGAACUGGAAAAAUGGGGCAGGCGCGUGUUGCUAAGUGUGACCGUGGCUAACUCCGGAAGGUGCAGUUGAUUGGCAAGGCUGGCCGAUGGCAAAGAACACAGGACGUUUGCGUGGUCUGACGACUGGAGGUGAUGAGGAGAACUGGAACAAGAGAGCUGGGCCAUGUUGCCGACCGUGGACGUGGAUAA